AUGCUGCCACCAUUCAGUUCUCCGACCGCCGGCAAAUCUCGCUUCUCCGCAGCCAUCCUAGCCAUCGAUGCAGCAACACUGUUCCGACAGUGGAAUUUUGUGAAACAAAACACCAUGAUCCUUGAUACCCAGACCUCCUUUAUCCUUGGAUCUGCAAAUUCUACUCCAUCUCACAAGGUGGUAUCUCUUUUUCUUAUUACACCCUUGCCAGAAGAAUCUCCUUCUGUGUUUAUCCAGUCUCUCAAUAAAGCUCCAUCAAUCUCACGAGCAUUGACGCAGCUCCAUAAGUCGCGUAGUAGAUCUCCAGCGGCGGCUAUCUCGUCGCCGGCGAUCUCAUCGGACAGCGGGCGCGACAACAUCGUGAAUCUCCAACGAGCGCGCACUGGUACCGCAUCCCGCGUCCCCCCUCUAGUCUCGCUCACGGCAACAUCGAACGAACUGCCGCCGCCAGUGGUAGUGGUUAACCUAGCGGGGCGGGAAAUGGCGGACGCGGAGUUAACUGAUAUCAUGGUAGACAUGGAGUUUGGAGAACUGAUGAAAGACUGGAUAGAAGAUUGGUUAGAUGAUGAAAAUUCAGAUCAUGAAGAUCUGUCAGAGAAUGGGAACGAAUGGGACGAUCUUAAUAUCGACGAGCUUGAUGAUGAUCAGGAAAACAACUCGGAGCUCUCGAAUGAAGAUUACAUUAGUCAGUUCAUUUCUGAAUGUCAUAAUGCGUACAACUAUUACGGUGAAUCCGAUGCGGAGAUAGGCCUUAACGACGAAUCAUUAGAUGCACCUGGUUCUGGGGAGUCCGAGUCGUCGGUCAUCAUGAGUGAGGUGACACAAGAUGAUGGGGCAAAGAAUGUCCAAGAUACUACCAGUGCAGAUGAUAAGAGGGAUAUGUUCAUGCGGUUUGUUUGUUCAAGACAAGGGAAACGUGACAGCAAGUUGCUAACCAAGGAAGGACACAGCCGUAGGCUCAGAGCCGAGACACGCUGCUUUUGCGAAGCACACCUGACCGUCAAGCUUGACCAAAAGCGUGGGGUUUGGUAUGUUGAAAGUUUUGAGGACAAGCAUAGCCAUAUGCUGGCAGGACCGGACAAGCGUCGCCUGGGAACUGUGAGCCUUGAAGACCGCAACGGCAUUGGGCAGCCACCGGCCAGCGCAAGAUCUGAAGCCAAGUUGUUGAUGCGCACGCGGCUUGACGACCACCUCGUUAGAUCUGAAGCCGAUUUUUGUUGCUAUAGUUUUGCUCAAUGGCUGCUCCAUGGGAUGCUAUGCAUGAACAGUUCCACAGAUAACACAGGCUGUGACAUGAGCAGUUGCUUCAGCUGUCUUCUAUCUUUACACUCAGUUGGUCUGUGGCUGGUGAUCUUCAUUAUUCAAAGUCUUCAACGUUCAGACUCACACGGCAUGGUUUCUAUAACAUCAACAGACUGCAGUGCACACACAAUGGUUGUGGGGACAAGCAGUAAUUUCUCUUCUGCUUCCCUCACCCGACCAAUAAUUCACCCUCUUUCAUUCCACACUAGGGCUCUCUCUCCCACAUUGCCCACUCCAUCCUCUCAGACUUUCGGACACGGCCAGCUUAGCCAGUUCGUCACUGCCGCUGCUCUCCCCCGCCGGCGACGCAUAUCCACUAAGACACCUUUCAGGCUCUUAUCGACACCUUUCAUUCUUAUUCACCUUGGGGGACAGGACACCGUGACUGCUUUUUCAUUGGAGGACAGUGAGCUGCGGUUGAGGCAGCUGCUGAGCCUGCUGUUUGUCGUCGUGUCCACCGACACUGACAAUUAA
rnacentral:rRNA from 1 species